rnacentral:misc_RNA from 1 species
GGCUUGUAGCUCAGUUGGUUAGAGCGCGCGCUUGAUAAGCGUGAGGUCGGAGGUUCAAGUCCUCCCAGGCCCACCAAUUCAAUUAGGUAGUGAUAAAGCGCUUAUUGUAAGAUGCAGAUAACAUGCGCGAUUUAUCAAAAAUGCUGAGACGAUUUUGUCUCGGAUUGAGAUUUAUCACUUUAUAAGUUUAUGUUUUUUGUUCUUUUUAGGGGCCGUAGCUCAGCUGGGAGAGCACCUGCUUUGCAAGCAGGGGGUCGUCGGUUCA